rnacentral:rRNA from 1 species
GAUGAACGCUAGCUACAGGCUUAACACAUGCAAGUCGAGGGGCAGCGCAGUGUAGCAAUACAUGGGCGGCGACCGGCGCACGGGUGCGUAACGCGUAUCCAACCUUCCCGUUACUCAGGGAUAGCCUUCCGAAAGGGAGAUUAAUACCUGAUGGUGUUGAAAUUCCGCAUGUUAUUUCAACCAAAGAUUUAUCGGUAACGGAUGGGGAUGCGUGACAUUAGAUAGUAGGCGGGGUGACGGCCCACCUAGUCUACGAUGUCUAGGGGUUCUGAGAGGAAGGUCCCCCACACUGGAACUGAGACACGGUCCAGACUCCUACGGGAGGCAGCAGUGAGGAAUAUUGGUCAAUGGUCGGAAGACUGAACCAGCCAAGUAGCGUGAAGGAUGAAGGUUCUAUGGAUUGUAAACUUCUUUUAUACGGGAAUAAAACCUCCCACGUGUGGGAGCUUGUAUGUACCGUAUGAAUAAGCAUCGGCUAACUCCGUGCCAGCCGCCGCGGUAACAC